rnacentral:tRNA from 1 species
GGGGUAUUAGCGCAGCUGGGAGCGCGCAACAUCCGCAAUGUUGAGGCCACGGGUUCGAAUCCCGUAUACUCCA